UGUUAACUGAAACGAAAUCAAAGCAAUACAAGUGAACAAAGAUAAUCCUACAUAUUUUUUAUAAGAUAUCAUACAAGGAUGAGACUUAUAAACAGGUACAUGUAAGGAACAAACGAAAAAAAAAUACGAUCAAUAACGGAAAUAGCACUCAAACCCGCCUAUACAGAAAAAAGAAAUUGAGUACAAACAAACGGAAAGAUUUGCAAGCAUUGCUAUCUAAAGGAUUGAUUCCUUCUUUUUACUCCCAAUUUUACUCCCGUAGUUCUAAGGUAAACGUUGUGCCAUAUUUGAGAGUAGCCACACAAGUUUCUUGAAACAAUCUAUUUUAUAUUUUCGGUUUAUUUUUAAAAUGUAUUAACAUCUUUUCAUUGUAUUAUUAUAGUGUUACUUAUGUUUUAGUUUUAUUUUGUAAUCAGGCAAUUUUGUUAAUAAAGAUAAAUAAACGAAUAAUCAGUAUUUUAUUAUAAAGAAAACGAAAAUUCAUUUUGUGUUUAAGAAAAUAUAGAAACAACUAGGAUUAAUUCAGUGUCAACUCAAAGUUUUUACAUCAAAACUGCAACAAACCUAAUUGUUUAUUUUACAUGACAGUUCAUUUAGCAAUAAAAGAGCAUCAUGUAGAAUUAUUUCAUCGGCGCAGAAUAUAUGUUUAAUCAUAAAGUGAAAUAACUAUAAACUAUCAAAA
rnacentral:lncRNA from 1 species